rnacentral:lncRNA from 1 species
UAGCUUUAUUUUUUUUGUGAGAAAGCUUACACAAUUGUGAGAAUUUAUACUUUGUCAAUAAAAAAAAAUCAUAUUAAAACAAAUAACAAGUAAAUAAUGAUUUGUCAAGAAAAUCUGAAAAUGGAUUUUGUGGCCAGGUUGUCUACGUAGUUCAUCUACAUCAAUCACUAGCCUGUCAACACCAAGGUUGUGAGUACAAAUCCCACUUGUGGUAAGGUGCUUUCUAUUACAUACAAUCUGCCAUGAAGUAGUCGAAAGAACCAAAAGUGUCAUUAAAACACCACCAAUUAAUUCAAUGAAAAAUUGUAGCUUCUAACAAUCUCUGAAUAACUCUUAUUU